rnacentral:lncRNA from 1 species
CUUUUAGUUAUGUUAGGGCCUGAGCACGUGCCCCUCAUAUGGCGGGGCUUUACGGUCAAAUUGAGCAAUGUUAUAAACCUAAAACAAUGGAUCAGCCUUACCCAUUAGAAUUACGCGAUUUUGGGGGAAGUUUAGGAGAUGUUGAACUCUGGCCAAGCUCCAAGGUGACAAUUCUGUAAUGGCAAAAUGAGAUUGGGAAUCUCCAAGAAAGAUAGGACUCGUGGGAGACGUUUUGGGAAAUUCACUAGAUCUUAUGUAAGUGCAAAUUUAUUUUUGUCAAUUUUUGGGUAUAAAUAAUGGUGAAUCUGGUUUUUGUGCUAGUAAUUUUGGAAUUGUGCCAUGCAGGGAACACUUUAUUGUGCUGGAUUUAUUUGGGAUGAUGAACCAAUUAGAUUCAAUCAAGCAAGCAGAGAGAAUGAAGCAGUGAGAGGAUGUGAAGGCAUUAAUGGCUGCUUGGAAGAUGAAUUGCAGAAGCCCAAACAGUUGCAAGACUCUACUGUAAAUUCCCUAAAUGGAAUUAGGGAUUUGUUGCUGUUGAUUUGUGGAUUUCUAGUAUUAAUUUCUGUGUUGUUGAUCAUGAUUGUGGUUAUGAAGUUGGCAAAAAAUUAAACGUUGGCACCAUUCCCAUUUGUUAUGUAUUCCGA